GAUAUGGAAUCCAGCUCUGUCAUCCAGCCGGGAGUGUAGUGGCAUGAUCUCGGCUCACUGCAACCUCUCCCUCCUGGGUUCAAGCAAUUCUCUGCCUCAGCCUCCUGAGUAGCUGAGAUUACAGUGAGCUACUAUCACAUAGUUGCACGCCAGCCUGGGUGACAGGGUGAAACCCUAUCCAAAUAAUAAUAAUAAUUUGACAAAUAAAGUCUCUUUUAAUGUAGCUGGAAUUGUGUAAGAAAGUCUUUCCUCAGCAAAUAAGAAAUGGACUAUGAAAUCUCCCAGAAUCUUUUUUAGCCCCUAAUUAGCUAUAAAUCUCCUUACAGUUUAGCCAUGGGAGGCCCAAGACAUGAAUUGGUGGCAUGGCACAUGGUCUAAUGUGCAUAUUGUAUAAAGUUAUCUAAAUACAUCUUGAGAGAGCCCACGCUUUCUCCGUUCUUUUG
rnacentral:lncRNA from 1 species